rnacentral:rRNA from 1 species
UACGUAGGCAGCGAGCGUUGUUCGGAGUUACUGGGCGUAAAGCGUGCGUAGGCGGUGUCUUAAGUUUGUUGUGAAAUCUCCCGGCUUAACCGGGAGGGUGCGGCGAAUACUGAGAUGCUGGAGUGCGGGAGGGGUAAGCGGAAUUCCUGGUGUAGCGGUGAAAUGCGUAGAUAUCAGGAGGAACACCUGCGGUGUAGACGGCUUACUGGACCGUAACUGACGCUGAGGCACGAAAGCGUGGGUAGCAAACAGG